rnacentral:rRNA from 1 species
AACGAACGCUGGCGGCGCGCUUAACACAUGCAAGUCGAACGAGAAGGCGUAGCAAUACGCUUGUACAGUGGCGAACGGGUGAGGAAUACAUGGGUAACCUACCCUCGAGUGGGGGAUAACCCGCCGAAAGGCGGGCUAAUACCGCGUACGCUUCCGAUCUUGCGGGAUCGGAAGGAAAGCUGUCCCUUGGGGAUGGCGCUCAAGGAUGGGCUCAUGUCCUAUCAGCUUGUUGGAGGGUAACGGCCUACCAAGGCAUCGACGGGUAGCUGGUCUGAGAGGACGAUCAGCCACACUGGCACUGCGACACGGGCCAGACUCCUACGGGAGGCAGCAGUGAGGAAUAUUGCGCAAUGGGCGAAAG